UACAGAGGGUGCAAGCGUUGUUCGGAAUUAUUGGGCGUAAAGGGCGCGUAGGCGGUUCGGCAAGUCUCUAGUGAAAUCUCUGGGCUCAACUCAGAGUCUGCUGGGGAAACUGCCGGGCUUGAGUGUGGGAGAGGAGAGUGGAAUUCCAGGUGUAGCGGUGAAAUGCGUAGAUAUCUGGAGGAAUACCGGUGGCGAAGGCGGCAUCCUGGACCGACAUUGACGCUGAACGGCGAAAGCUAGGGGAGCAAACGGG
rnacentral:rRNA from 1 species